rnacentral:misc_RNA from 1 species
AAUUAGACAAGUAUAUAAUAUUUAAUCUUCACCCUAAUCUCACCUUGAAGAAUCUAUAGUCGGGUUCUUGCCUAUUCGGUACCUCCGUUAGAAAAUACUCAACGUGAAUUUCAUUUAAAUCGGAAUCUUUACAAUCGUCCGCCAGCUAAAACUAGAAGGGGUGAGUUCGCGUGCUUUGCGUUGGCUGACCUAAGACUAUCGACCCUGCUUGACCACUUAUGCCAAGACGAGGCUGCUGAGGAAAUUCUAAGCUUUAUAUUCCAAAGAAAUAUACUUCGCUGGAUCAGAAGUAGUCGUUCUAGAUCAUGCAUCAGCUUUAUAAUCGAGGACACUGGAAAAAUGUCGGCGAUUAAUCUUCUUGGCUCGCGGGUGCGUGAUAUAUCCGAGUCAAUUCUUGCAAUAACGGCUGUUAUUGCUAAUGUAAUUUUUAUAGCGACCUUGACGGGUGCGUAAACCCAUAUAAAAAUUUGCAUUUCUCAUCGGAACACGUCACCUAGUUCUACACUUGGUCUGACGAUCAGAAUUCGAGCUUUUACAUUACGGUAAUUGUUUGGAGUAUCCCCUCUAUCCUUUCGUUGUAGCUUUAUUCACUCGUAUAACUAAU